rnacentral:tRNA from 1 species
AACAUAGAAGUAAAUAUUUACAUUUAGUUUCGACCUAAUUUUAAGGUUUAUUUAGCCUCAUGUUU